rnacentral:rRNA from 1 species
GGACGGGUGAGUAUCGCGUGGAGAACCUGUCUCUUAGUUUGGAAUAACCUGGCGAAAGCCGGACUAAUCCCAAAUAAUCUUUACUAAUAGCCUUAUAAGUAAAGGAAAGGUGCUUAUUGCAUCGCUAAGAGGUGGCUCCGCGUCGGAUUAGCUAGCUGGUGAGGUAAUGGCUCACCAGGGCAACGAUCCGUAGCUGGUCUGAGAGGACGAUCAGCCACACUGGGACUGAGACACGGCCCAGACUCCUACGGGAGGCAGCAGUGGGGAAUCUUCCGCAAUGGGCGCAAGCCUGACGGAGCAACGCCGCGUGAAUGAUGAAGGCCUUCGGGUUGUAAAGUUCUGUCCUCAGGGAAGAACCAUCAUGAUAGUCAAUGAUCAUGAUCUGACGGUACCUGGGGAGGAAGCCCUGGCUAACUACGUGCCAGCAGCCGCGGUAAUACGUAGAGGGCAAGCGUUGUCCGGAAUCACUGGGCGUAAAG